rnacentral:misc_RNA from 1 species
AAGUCGUAACAAGGUUUCCGUAGGUGAACCUGCGGAAGGAUCAUUAACACCCCCCGUGAACUUUCAAUCCUGCUCUUGUAACCCGCGUAGUUCGCAAUCUCUGGUAAAUCAUAGCCCGGAAAGUUGUUUUGAUUCAGAGACCUCUGGCUACGUGAGAACAUUGGAACAGUUACAAUCGAGCGGUACAUUGUUUCCCCAAGCAGUCAGUGUCGGAAAGUGUCACUGAUUGUGCAAGGAUAGCGCUUCACGAUUAGACCGUACACUCGGGCAGGAGCUCUGCCCAAGGGUCCCCAUGCCCCCUUAUAACCCCACAGUUUAAUGUAAAGCUCAAUGUAAUACAUUGGGUAAAAAAACCGAACAACUGUUAACAAUGGAUAUCUUGGUUCUC